rnacentral:rRNA from 1 species
CUUCGCAUCAAUUUUUACUUAAUUUACACAUGCAAGUAUCCGCACCCCUGUGAAAACGCCCUUUAACCCCCAUUUGGGGUAAGGAGCUGGUAUCAGGCACAUCUUUACUGCCCAAGACACCUAGCUAUGCCACACCCACAAGGGAUCUCAGCAGUGAUUAACAUUGAACAUCAGCGUCAGCUCGAUUCAGUUAAAGUAAAUAGAGCCGGCUAAUCUGGUGCCAGCCGCCGCGGUUACACCAUGUGGCUCAAAUUGAUCCUUGUCGGCGUAAAGAGUGAUUUAAGACCCCCCCCCUCCCCCUCCUGGCGUUAAAUUUAUACUAAGCUGUGACACGCUUGUUCCUAAGAAACCCAAAAACGAAAGUUACCCCAACUCAAUCAACUUGA